rnacentral:rRNA from 1 species
CGUCCGCUCUGGGUUAGUCGGGUCCUAAGCUGAGGCCGACAGGCGUAGGCGAUGGAUAACAGGUUGAUAUUCCUGUACCACCUAUAAUCGUUUUAAUCGAUGGGGGGACGCAGUAGGAUAGGCGAAGCGUGCGAUUGGAUUGCACGUCUAAGCAGUAAGGCUGAGUAUUAGGCAAAUCCGGUACUCGUUAAGGCUGAGCUGUGAUGGGGAGAAGACAUUGUGUCUUCGAGUCGUUGAUUUCACACUGCCGAGAAAAGCCUCUAGAUAGAAAAUAGGUGCCCGUACCGCAAACCGACACAGGUAGUCAAGAUGAGAAUUCUAAGGUGAGCGAGCGAACUCUCGUUAAGGAACUCGGCAAAAUGACCCCGUAACUUCGGGAGAAGGGGUGCUCUUUAGGGUUAACGCCCAGAAGAGCCGCAGUGAAUAGGCCCAAGCGACUGUUUAUCAAAAACACAGGUCUCUGCUAAACCGUAAGGUGAUGUAUAGGGGCUGACGCCUGCCCGGUGCUGGAAGGUUAAGAGGAGUGGUUAGCUUCUGCGAAGCUACGAAUCGAAGCCCCAGUAAACGGCGGCCGUAACUAUAACGGUCCUAAGGUAGCGAAAUUCCUUGUCGGGUAAGUUCCGACCCGCACGAAAGGCGUAACGAUUUGGGCACUGUCUCAACGAGAGACUCGGUGAAAUCAUAGUACCUGUGAAGAUGCAGGUUACCCGCGACAGGACGGAAAGACCCCGUGGAGCUUUACUGUAGCCUGAUAUUGAAAUUCGGCACAGCUUGUACAGGAUAGGUAGGAGCCUUUGAAACGUGAGCGCUAGCUUACGUGGAGGCGCUGGUGGG